AUUAAGUUGGUCAUUGACACUGGAGUUCAGAGGAAACUUUUAAGUGAAGAUGCUUCAUGCAGUGUAUAACCCCAAGGUCAAGGCAAGCUCGAUUGUGAAGAAACCGAUGCGAAAUGGGGAAAUGCUUUCGUCUCCACCCAGCUCAGCUGCCUAGUGAGGCUUCCCUGCCCAUCUGGGAGAGCAAACUCCCAUCCACUGUGUUUUUCCUGAAGACAAUGGAGCUCUAUGGCCUUGGGCACUGUGAUGUCAUAAACAGACCUGGC